GUUUCAUCAGGUGCAGGUUUUCUUGCACUGUAUGGCUGCAGAUGACUCCUUCCCUUGGGAAGUCAAGGCCGAGCUCCCACUCCAGGACUUACACAGAGAACUGUAGCCAAAAGGGAUGGUGCAGACGUGGUGUAUUUGGCAGGAAAUGUGGGGAUGUAACCCAAAAAGAGGGGACACAAUCUGAAAUGAGGGUCUGAGAGUGGCUGUGGCAGAAGUUCAUGCCAACCCGCUGCUAAAUGUGCUUCUAUCAUCACCAUGCAGGUACAAAAGGUUUCCAAGAGGAAUUCCAGCUCAGGAAGUGAGGACACAGAGUAUUGAGCACAUCAGGCACUAUUCGGAGUCUGUAAAUAAAGUUUAUUAGGGGGCUCUGGUUCAAAUAUUACAUGAUGAAGGAAUUCAACAGGCAGCUGAAAUGGAUUCUAAGUGACCAAACAGAGAGAGAAUAUAUCUGUGGGACCAAGAAACAUUUAUCUGUCCAGAAGGAGAGAAGAAAAAAAAAAAGCCAGGAACGAUCUAUCAAGAGGGAGGAAAUCUGCGCCUCAGCAAUUGCCAAAAUGUCUUAAUUGCUUUGUAAACUCAUCUCAGUAAAUACAACAUGGAGGGCUGCUGUUGCCUUCUGCUGUAGAAUCACAGAAUCCUUUAGGUUGGAAAAGUCCACUGAGAUCACCUCGUGCCACCACCAGCGAUGUGC
rnacentral:lncRNA from 1 species